GACAGAGGAUGCAAGCGUUAUCCGGAAUCAUUGGGCGUAAAGCGUCUGUAGGCGGCUUUUCAAGUCCGCCGUCAAAUCCCAGGGCUCAACCCUGGACAGGCGGUGGAAACUACCAAGCUGGAGUACGGUAGGGGCAGAGGGAAUUUCCGGUGGAGCGGUGAAAUGCAUUGAGAUCGGAAAGAACACCAACGGCGAAAGCGCUCUGCUGGGCCGACACUGACACUGAGAGACGAAAGCUAGGGGAGCAAAUGGG
rnacentral:rRNA from 1 species